CCUGUCAAAUAAUAUGGAUCAUCCCUUCAUAUUAACACUGAAUGUACUGACAAGCAUUUAUGGUACACUAAAAUAUACUUUAAUGUAAUUUUAGUUGAAAGUUGUAUAUCAAGUUUUUAAACAUAUUUGUAAUGAUGAAGUUGCAAUUUAGUACAUUUACUAUAUAAUAAAAUUUUUAUGUUUAAUAUGUAAUAACAUACUACUUAAAAUUGUAAUAUAAACAACACAUUGAAAUAAACAUACUUUCAAAACAUACUUUUAUAACCAGACAAUGAUUUAAAAACAAACAGAAGAAUUUAAAAAUCAACCCUAAAUUUAACGGGAAGUUAAUGAAGGAAUGAUAAAACAGGGGAAAUGUGAUCCCUCUUUUUAGACCCAGUCAAAAGCCACAGCAUUUUGAACAGCUUGCAAUCGUGACAAUGAAGAUUGAGGAAGACCAGAGUAAAGACAGUUACAAUAUUCCAAUCGAGAUGUACUAAUUGCAUGAAUCACAACUUCCAUAUCCUUCCUUGAAAGAAGAUGCUUUAACUUUGCAAUGGAUCUCAGAUGCAAACAAACUUGCUCUAAUAACAGCACUAAUUUGUUUAUCAAAAAAUAGAGAAGAGUUAAAAAUCAAUCCAAGGUUUUUGAUUAAUUUGCAUACAUUUUAUAUUCAAUUUGCAUUUUAUCUGAUUCUACAUUUAUUUAUUGACUUCUUUAGUCAGAUUUUCAUUCUUUUUUGUUUCUCUCCCUUCACAGAUUGAAGACAAAAUGGAAAACCUCUUACUGCGGUAACUCAAACACAAGCUAGGGGGCAACAAUAACCACAGAACAGAUGGUCAGGAUGAGACAUGUCAACACAGGGAUAUGAAGACACACUUCCACCCUUUUGUAGCAGUCCCUAAAUGAGAAAUUACACACUCUGUGAUUUGAGUGAUGAGUAACUGAAGCAGAUGGCAGAAGAAUCUGCUUUCGCCUUCACCCUCGGUUGCUCCAGCUCCACCUCAUCCCUCCAAAACUCUACUUCCAUCUCAGGAGGGUUGUUGCUGCGGCUCCGCCAUGGCCACCUAGAUCAUCUACAUCAUUCCAUUCCAUCAGCCCUUUUUCUGUGCCAUGGGCUCCUCCAUUGUCGUCACACUGCCUCAACCAUGGCUCCUCCCCCCAGUGAUGCCACUGUGAGGCACAGUCCUGGCUGUGGCCUGGAUCACCACCUGGACGUUCCUGCACAAGGCCAUCUCCUGGAUCACUCCUCCACCUACUCCACCUUGGAUUUUUCUGUUGAGCCCUCUCCUGGAUUCCUCUCUUCCACCAAAUCCUCUAUCCAUCUGCUGGCGUGAGGUCGCACCUUCCAGGAGGGGGCGUAUUGUCAUACUCACACACUUUUUGGACUGUUUUCAUUUUUUCAUCUCCAUUAGUUAGUUGUCAUGGUUGUUAAUUGAUUUGUCAUUUAGUUCAUUAUGGAAGUUUAUCCUUUGUUGCUGCUACCUGAGAAUUAUUAAAGGACUUUUGAUCUUUCA
ensembl:lncRNA